rnacentral:rRNA from 1 species
UACGAAGGGGGCUAGCGUUGUUCGGAAUUACUGGGCGUAAAGGGCGCGUAGGCGGCCAUUUAAGUCGGGGGUGAAAGCCUGUGGCUCAACCACAGAAUUGCCUUCGAUACUGGAUGGCUUGAGUUCGGUAGAGGUUGGUGGAACUGCGAGUGUAGAGGUGAAAUUCGUAGAUAUUCGCAAGAACACCGGUGGCGAAGGCGGCCAACUGGACCGACACUGACGCUGAGGCGCGAAAGCGUGGGGAGCAAACAGG